CAUACCGGAAGCUUACACAUGCAAGUCGAACGGUCUCUUCGGAGAUAGUCGGCGGACGGGUGAGUAACGCGUGAGAAUCAGGCUUCAGGUCGGGGACAACCACUGGAAACGGUGGCUAAUACCGGAUGUGCCGAAAGGUGAAAGAUUUAUUGCCUGAAGAUGAGCUCGCGUCUGAUUAGCUAGUAGGAAGUGUAAGAGACUACCUAGGCGACGAUCAGUAGCUGGUCUGAGAGGAUGAUCAGCCACACUGGGACUGAGACACGGCCCAGACUCCUACGGGAGGCAGCAGUGGGGAAUUUUCCGCAAUGGGCGAAAGCCUGACGGAGCAAUACCGCGUGAGGGAGGAAGGCUCUUGGGUUGUAAACCUCUUUUCUCAGGGAAGAACAAAAUGACGGUACCUGAGGAAUAAGCAUCGGCUAACUCCGUGCCAGCAGCCGCGGUAAUACGGAGGAUGCAAGCGUUAUCCGGAAUGAUUGGGCGUAAAGCGUCCGCAGGUGGCAGUGUAAGUCUGCUGUUAAAGAGUGAGGCUUAACCUCAUAAAAGCAGUGGAAACUACACAGCUAGAGUACGUUCGGGGCAGAGGGAAUUCCUGGUGUAGCGGUGAAAUGCGUAGAAAUA
rnacentral:rRNA from 1 species